AUCUCCCUCCCAACAAUUCAAGCUAGAAGAAGCUAAGACUAGACUUUUUCCAUAGAAAGUAAGGGGAAAAAAAAUCCAAAUAUGGUUUCAAAAAAUAAUCGUCUCAUGGCCAGAGCAACAUGCCUCCUAAUAUUCUUGUUUUCAGUUAUCAGAAUAGCCCAUGGUGCAGAUUUGAACAUAAAAAACUUUGGAGCAAAGGCUGAUGGCAAGUCAGAUGAUAACAAAUUAAUGGUGGUCUUUGAUUAGGCAAUGAGUAAUGCUUGGAAGGCGGCAUGCGUGUAGACCGAUCGUAGCACUGUUUUGAUACCAAACGGGAAAUACAUGGUUGGUCCAUUAACGUUCCAAGGACCCUGCAAGGCACCAGUCAGUGUUCAGGUUCAAGGAAACGUUCUUGCUCCACCAAGCCUCAACAUUUUCAAGUCCCAAAACGGCUGGAUGGUUUUACAAAACAUUGACAGAUUGAUGGUCUCAGGAACAGGAACUCUCGAUGGCCAAGGAUCACUUGCUUGGUCCCAAAAUAACUGUGCAAAAACUGGGACAUGCAAUUCAAUGCCCAUUGUACGGACCAUCUAAAAUUAAUACAUGGAUCUUUUUUUUUUCUUA